rnacentral:lncRNA from 1 species
GUGUUGUGCUUUACUGAUGACAUCACAAAGGCCAACUCUCAUUGGUGAAAUCUCAGGGAGUAAGAUGUUGUUAGCCCGGCACUUCGUUCUGAAGAGCUCCAAAGCUUAUACAAUUUUAUAAGAUUUGAAUUGGCUGCAGAAGAGAUAUAAAUGCCUAAGUGUUUGCCACAUUAAUGGACCACCGGAUAAAAAUGCUUCUCCUAGCUCAAUGGAAUGGAUCAAUAAGGGUGGGAGCCUAGCAGAGCUGUCAGAUGGCAUCAAGUCAUGUGAUCUAGAGUGGACUCACCCAGCCCAGCUACAACCUACCCUCAGAUAGAGAUGUAAAAUCAAUAAACAUGCAAUAAAUCCAAGAUAGUAAAAUGUG